rnacentral:rRNA from 1 species
GAUCAUGGCUCAGGAUGAACGCUAGCUACAGGCUUAACACAUGCAAGUCGAGGGGCAGCAUUUUAGUUUGCUUGCAAACUGAAGAUGGCGACCGGCGCACGGGUGAGUAACACGUAUCCAACCUGCCGAUAACUCUGGAAUAGCCUUUCGAAAGAAAGAUUAAUACCGGAUGGCAUACGAAUAUCGCAUGAUAUUUUUAUUAAAGAAUUUCGGUUAUCGAUGGGGAUGCGUUCCAUUUAG